AGUGAACGCUGGCGGUGGGCCUAACACAUGCAAGUCGAACGGCAGCACAGUAAGAGCUUGCUCUUACGGGUGGCGAGUGGCGGACGGGUGAGGAAUACAUCGGAAUCUACUUUUUCGUGGGGGAUAACGUAGGGAAACUUACGCUAAUACCGCAUACGACCUACGGGUGAAAGCAGGGGAUCUUCGGACCUUGCGCGAUUGAAUGAGCCGAUGUCGGAUUAGCUAGUUGGCGGGGUAAAGGCCCACCAAGGCGACGAUCCGUAGCUGGUCUGAGAGGAUGAUCAGCCACACUGGAACUGAGACACGGUCCAGACUCCUACGGGAGGCAGCAGUGGGGAAUAUUGGACAAUGGGCGCAAGCCUGAUCCAGCCAUACCGCGUGGGUGAAGAAGGCCUUCGGGUCGUAAAGCCCUUUUGUUGGGAAAGAAAAGCAGCAGGUUAAUACCCCGCUGUUCUGACGGUACCCAAAGAAUAAGCACCGGCUAACUUCGUG
rnacentral:rRNA from 1 species